GAUGAACGCUGGCGGCGUGCCUAAUACAUGCAAGUCGAGCGAACAGACGAGGAGCUUGCUCCUCUGAUGUUAGCGGCGGACGGGUGAGUAACACGUGGAUAACCUACCUAUAAGACUGGGAUAACUUCGGGAAACCGGAGCUAAUACCGGAUAACAUGUUGAACCGCAUGGUUCAACAGUGAAAGACGGUCUUGCUGUCACUUAUAGAUGGAUCCGCGCCGCAUUAGCUAGUUGGUAAGGUAACGGCUUACCAAGGCAACGAUGCGUAGCCGACCUGAGAGGGUGAUCGGCCACACUGGAACUGAGACACGGUCCAGACUCCUACGGGAGGCAGCAGUAGGGAAUCUUCCGCAAUGGGCGAAAGCCUGACGGAGCAACGCCGCGUGAGUGAAGAAGGUCUUCGGAUCGUAAAACUCUGUUAUUAGGGAAGAACAAAUGUGUAAGUAACGAUGCACGUCUUGACGGUACCUAAUCAGAAAGCCACGGCUAACUACGU
rnacentral:rRNA from 1 species